rnacentral:rRNA from 1 species
UAAUGAUGGGUAGGGGAGCUUCCCAUACGGGUUGAAGCAUGACCGUAAGGACAUGUGGACAGUAUGGGAGUGAGAAUGUUGGCAUGAGUAGCGAGAUGUGGGUGAGAAUCCCACAGGCCGUAAACCCAAGGUUUCCAGGGGAAGGUUCGUCCGCCCUGGGUUAGUCGGGACCUAAGCUGAGGCCGAAAGGCGUAGGUGAUGGACAACAGGUUGAUAUUCCUGUACUACCGAUAACCGUUUGAGAGAAGGGAUGACACAGUAGGAUAAGCUAAGCACACUGUUGGUUAUGUGUGCCCAAGCAUUGAGGCAGUCAAAGUAGGCAAAUCCGCUUUGAUAAUGCUGGGAUGUGAUGGGGAGCGAAAUUUAGUAGCGAAGUAGCUGAUUUCACACUGUCAAGAAAAGUCUCUAUCGAGGUUAAAGGUACCCGUACCGCAAACCGACACAGGUGGGUGAGGAGAGUAUCCUAAGGCCAGCGAGAGAACUGUUGUUAAGGAACUCGGCAAAAUGACCCCGUAACUUAGGGAUAAGGGGUGCCACCAUCAGGUGGCCGCAGAGAAUAGGCCCAAGCGACUGUUUACCAAAAACAUAGGUUUCUGCUAAGUCGCAAGACGAUGUAUAGGAGCUGACGCCUGCCCGGUGCUGGAAGGUUAAGGGGAUCUGUUAGAGCAAUCGAAGCAGUGAACUUAAGCCCCAGUAAACGGCGGCCGUAACUAUAACGGUCCUAAGGUAGCGAAAUUCCUUGUCGGGUAAGUUCCGACCCGCACGAAAGGCGUAACGAUUUGGGCACUGUCUCAACAACAGACUCGGUGAAAUUGUAAUUCCGGUGAAGAUGCCGGAUACCUGCGACAGGACGGAAAGACCCCAUGGAGCUUUACUGUAGCUUGACAUUGGGUCUUGGUACUACAUGUACAGGAUAGGUGGGAGGCUUUGAAACCAGGACGCCAGUUUUGGCGGAGCCAUCCUUGGGAUACCACCCUUGUAGUACUGGGACUCUAACCAUAGGCCAUGAAUCUGGUCUUGGGACACUGUCAGGUGGGCAGUUUGACUGGGGCGGUCGCCUCCCAAAAGGUAACGGAGGCGCUCAAAGGUUCUCUCAGUACGGUCGGAAAUCGUACGUAGAGUGUAAAGGCAAAAGAGAGCUUGAUUGCAAGACAUACAGGUCGAGCAAGGAUGAAAAUCGGACUUAGUGAUCCGGUGGUUCUGCGUGGAAGGGCCAUCGCUCAACGGAUAAAAGCUACCCUGGGGAUAACAGGCUUAUCUCCCCCAAGAGUCCACAUCGACGGGGAGGUUUGGCACCUCGAUGUCGGCUCAUCACAUCCUGGGGCUGUAGUAGGUCCCAAGGGUUGGGCUGUUCGCCCAUUAAAGUGGUACGCGAGCUGGGUUCAGAACGUCGUGAGACAGUUCGGUCCCUAUCCGUCGCAGGCGUAGGAAAUUUGAGAAGACCUGUCCUUAGUACGAGAGGACCGGGAUGGACGUACCUCUGGUGUACCAGUUGUCCUGCCAAGGGCAUGGCUGGGUAGCUAUGUACGGAAUGGAUAAGCGCUGAAAGCAUCUAAGCGCGAAGCCAACUUCAAGAUAAGAUUUCCCACCGCAAGGGUAAGACCCCAGAAAGACUAUCUGGUUGA